CUAUGCGCCUUCGCCAGCCCGCUCAGAAACUUAAAGGUAAUUGGACGGGGGCCCGCACAAGCGGAGGAACAUGUGGUUUAAUUCGAUGAUACGCGAGGAACCCUUACCUGGGCUAGAACGCAUUCGGAAUCAGGCCGAAAGGCCUGCGCCAGCGAUGGCCGCUUGCGAGGUGCUGCAUGGUUGUCGUCAGCUCGUGCCGUGAGGUGUCGGGUUAAGUCCCAUAACGAGCGCAACCCCUACUGCUAGUUGCCAGCGGGUCAUGCCGGGGACUCUAGCGGAACUGCCAGCGUAAGCUGCGAGGAAGGUGGGGAUGACGUCAAAUCAGCACGGCCCUUACGUCCAGGGCUACACACGUGUUACAAUGGCCGGUACAGAGGGCAGCCACCCCGCGGAGGGGGCGCGAAUCCCGAAAGCCGGUCCCAGUUCGGAUCGGAGUCUGCAACCCGACUCCGUGAAGCUGGAUUCGCUAGUAAUCGCGCAUCAGCCACGGCGCGGUGAAUACGUUCCCGGGCCUU
rnacentral:rRNA from 1 species